rnacentral:lncRNA from 1 species
GUGGGUUUGGUAUUUUUUCGAUUGUGUAUGGAACUUUGUUGGUAUUAAACAAUCAUCAUCAUUUUCGUCAUGCUUAAUCUUUCAGUUUCGAAAUUUUUCAAGUUUUUCAAGUUGUUAUUUUGUUUAACAUAAUAUUGUAUAAUUUUAUAAUGCUUAUUAGGUCUUUCCACUUUUCUGUUGUUUUUAAUAUUGUUUUUCUUCUGAUUAUUUUUUUUUUCCUCCGCCUAAUUU